rnacentral:rRNA from 1 species
AUGAACGCUAGCUACAGGCUUAACACAUGCAAGUCGAGGGGCAUCAGGAAGAAAGCUUGCUUUCUUUGCUGGCGACCGGCGCACGGGUGAGUAACACGUAUCCAACCUGCCCUUUACUCGGGGAUAGCCUUUCGAAAGAAAGAUUAAUACCCGAUAGUAUAAUGAUUCCGCAUGGUUUCAUUAUUAAAGGAUUCCGGUAAAGGAUGGGGAUGCGUUCCAUUAGGUUGUUGGUGAGGUAACGGCCCACCAAGCCUUCGAUGGAUAGGGGUUCUGAGAGGAAGGUCCCCCACAUUGGAACUGAGACACGGUCCAAACUCCUACGGGAGGCAGCAGUGAGGAAUAUUGGUCAAUGGGCGCUAGCCUGAACCAGCCAAGUAGCGUGAAGGAUGAGGGCUCUAUGGGUCGUAAACUUCUUUUAUAUAAGAAUAAAGUGCAGUAUGUAUACUGUUUUGUAUGUAUUAUAUGAAUAAGGAUCGGCUAACUCCGUGCCAGCAGCCGCGGUAAUACGGAGGAUCCGAGCGUUAUCCGGAUUUAUUGGGUUUAAAGGGAGCGUAGGUGGACUGGUAAGUCAGUUGUGAAAGUUUGCGGCUCAACCGUAAAAUUGCAGUUGAUACUGUCAGUCUUGAGUACAGUAGAGGUGGGCGGAAUUCGUGGUGUAGCGGUGAAAUGCUUAGAUAUCACGAAGAACUCCGAUUGCGAAGGCAGCUCACUGGACUGCAACUGACACUGAUGCUCGAAAGUGUGGGUAUCAAACAGGAUUAGAUACCCUGGUAGUCCACACAGUAAACGAUGAAUACUCGCUGUUUGCGAUAUACAGUAAGCGGCCAAGCGAAAGCAUUAAGUAUUCCACCUGGGGAGUACGCCGGCAACGGUGAAACUCAAAGGAAUUGACGGGGGCCCGCACAAGCGGAGGAACAUGUGGUUUAAUUCGAUGAUACGCGAGGAACCUUACCCGGGCUUAAAUUGCAGUGGAAUGAUGUGGAAACAUGUCAGUGAGCAAUCACCGCUGUGAAGGUGCUGCAUGGUUGUCGUCAGCUCGUGCCGUGAGGUGUCGGCUUAAGUGCCAUAACGAGCGCAACCCUUAUCUUUAGUUACUAACAGGUUAUGCUGAGGACUCUAGAGAGACUGCCGUCGUAAGAUGUGAGGAAGGUGGGGAUGACGUCAAAUCAGCACGGCCCUUACGUCCGGGGCUACACACGUGUUACAAUGGGGGGUACAGAAGGCAGCUAGCGGGUGACCGUAUGCUAAUCCCAAAAUCCUCUCUCAGUUCGGAUCGAAGUCUGCAACCCGACUUCGUGAAGCUGGAUUCGCUAGUAAUCGCGCAUCAGCCACGGCGCGGUGAAUACGUUCCCGGGCCUUGUACACACCGCCCGUCAAGCCAUGGGAGCCGGGGGUACCUGAAGUACGUAACCGCAAGGAUCGUCCUAGGGUAAAACUGGUGACUGGGGCU